rnacentral:rRNA from 1 species
GAUGAACGCUGGCGGCGUGCCUAAUACAUGCAAGUCGAGCGAAGCGAGGAUGGGUGAGUAACACGUGGAUAACCUCCUUUAAGACUGGGAUAAAUUCGGGUAACCGGAGCUAAAUAGGAUACUUAGAGAUGGAUACGAGCUGCAUUAGCUAGUUGGUAAGGUAACGGCUUACCAAGGAAACGAUGCAUAGCCGACCUGAGAGGGUGAUCGGCCACACUGGAACUGAGACACGGUCCAGACUCCUACGGGAGGCAGCAGUAGGGAAUCUUCCGCAAUGGGCGAAAGCCUGACGGAGCAACGCCGCGUGAGUGAUGAAGGUCUUCGGAUCGUAAAACUCUGUUAUUAGGGAAGCGGUACCUAAUCAGAAAGCCACGGCUAACUACGUGCCAGCAGCCGCGGUAAUUC